UACAGAGGGGGCAAGCGUUGUCAGGAAUUAUUGGGCGUAAAGGGCUCGUAGGCGGUUUGUCGCGUCGGGAGUGAAAACACGGGGCUUAACCCCGUGCCUGCUUCCGAUACGGGCAGACUAGAGGUAUGCAGGGGAGAACGGAAUUCCUGGUGUAGCGGUGAAAUGCGCAGAUAUCAGGAGGAACACCGGUGGCGAAGGCGGUUCUCUGGGCAUUACCUGACGCUGAGGAGCGAAAGUGUGGGGAGCGAACAGG
rnacentral:rRNA from 1 species